GCCUUCGAUAUAUAUGCUGCCCCAAACUGUUUUGUUCCAAUAAGAAAGAAAUACAUCAGCUAAGAGAUGAAAACUAAAUUAACUGAAGAAAACUGUGAGGAAUAAUACAAAAUUUGAGGAAAAUCAAUACAGUGCAGCCUUGUAUGAAGAUGACAAAAGACCAGACUAUAAUGGAGAUACAGUAUGAGAGUGGACUCUUUUGACUUGGGCCAGUAAAAAGCAACACCUUGGAGACUAGCCACAAAAUGCAUAGUGGUGCACAAAUCACCAUCACCCACUUUCAUCAAAUGGAAAACAGCAGCGUGAACAUUCAUCAGAACGUCUCCUUUUGAGCUCAUAUGUAUUUGGAACGACAUGAAGUAUCUGAUGGCUCCUGACAGGCUCUUUCACCACUCACGGCUCUUAGCCCGGCGGGGAUCGAUGGAGUUUGAGGCCAUUCGUCGGUGUGUUUUACUCUCUGCCCAUCGUUCAGAUGCUCCAGUAUGCUGUGUCUCGUUGAGGAGCAGAGCGAUUGCUGGAGAACACGUUUUACCUCAUUUCCUGCCCUGUCUGUCUUUCUGGAAAGGAAAAUCCCAAAUGUAAUCUCCUUAACAUCUCAAUUGUUUUUCCUAGACAGCAUUCAAAUUAAAUGGAGACUGAAAUCAACAUGAAAUCAUACUGAUGUAUUUAUGUUCCUGGUCUUUUUGUAAACAGUUCAUUGGUGGUCUUCACAAUCUUUCAUAAAUUGUAAUUGUAAUUUGCUCCGCCUCUGAAACGACAUUCUGUUUUGGAUGAUGUCAACUAGGC
rnacentral:lncRNA from 1 species